rnacentral:rRNA from 1 species
UCAGUCACACUGGAACUGAGACACGGUCCAGACUCCUACGGGAGGCAGCGUCGGGAAUAUUGGACAAUGGGGGAAACCCUGAUCCAGCCAUGCCGCGGUGUGAAGAAGGCCCUAGGGUUGUAAAGCACUUUUAGUAGUGAGGAAGGUCAAGUGGUUAAUACCUACUGGGAUUGACGUUAGCUANAGAAAAA